rnacentral:rRNA from 1 species
AAGCCUGAUGCAGCAACGCCGCGUGAACGAUGAAGGUGCUUCGGAUGCGUAAAGUUCUGUGUGCAGGGGAAGAUAAUGACGGUACCCUGUGAGGAAGCCCCGGCUAACUACGUGCCAGCAGCCGCGGUAAUACGUAGGGGGCUAGCGUUAUCCGGAUUUACUGGGCGUAAAGGGUGCGUAGGUGGUCCUUCAAGUCGGUGGUUAAAGGCUACGGCUCAACCGUAGUAAGCCGCCGAAACUGGAGGACUUGAGUGCAGGAGAGGAAAGUGGAAUUCCCAGUGUAGCGGUGAAAUGCGUAGAUAUUGGGAGGAACACCAGUAGCGAAGGCGGCUUUCUGGACUGCAACUGACACUGAGGCACGAAAGCGUGGGUAGCAAACAGGAUUAGAUACCCUGGUAGUCCACGCUGUGAACGAUGAGUACUAGGUGUCGGGGGUUACCCCCCUCGGUGCCGCAGCUAACGCAUUAAGUACUCCGCCUGGGGAGUACGCACGCAAGUGUGAAACUCAAAGGAAUUGACGGGGACCCGCACAAGUAGCGGAGCAUGUGGUUUAAUUCGAAGCAAGCGAAGAAC